AGGGACCCCGAGGGAGGGCAGG
rnacentral:miRNA from 2 species